CUGGUAGUGGGGGAUAACGUCCGGAAACGGGCGCUAAUACCGCAUACGUCCUGAGGGAGAAAGUGGGGGAUCUUCGGACCUCACGCUAUCAGAUGAACCUAGGUCGGAUUAACUAGUUGGUGGGGUAAAGGCCUACCCAGGCGACGAUCCAUAACUGGUCUGAGAGGAUGAUCAAUCACACUGGAACUGAGACACGGUCCAGACUCCUACGGGAGGCAGCAGUGGGGAAUAUUGGACAAUGGGCGAAAGCCUGAUCCAGCCAUGCCGCGUGUGUGAAGAAGGUCUUCGGAUUGUAAAGCACUUUAAGUUGGGAGGAAGGGCAGUAAGUUAGUACCUUGCUGUUUUGACGUUACCAACAGAAUAAGCACCGGCUAACUUCGUGCCAGCAGCCGCGGUAAUACGAAGGGUGCAAGCGUUAAUCGGAAUUACUGGGCGUAAAGCGCGCGUAGGUGGUUCAGCAAGUUGGAUGUGAAAUCCCCGGGCUCAUCCUGGGAACUGCAUCCUAAACUACUGAGCUAGAGUACGGUAGAGGGUGGUGGAAUUUCCUGUGUAGCGGUGAAAUGCGUAGAUAUAGGAAGGAACACCAGUGGCGAAGGCGACCACCUGGACUGAUACUGACGCUGAUGUGCUACAGCGUGGGGAGCAACAGGAUUAUAUACCCUGGUAGUCCACGCCG
rnacentral:rRNA from 1 species